AAGUCGUGAAGGGGCCUUAGUUCCCCAAACCUCUGAAGGGAAAGGGAAUGAGAGAAUUGCCUUGUUUUCAUUGGCUGAAGCGCGGGAAUGACGGAAAGGCCUGGCUUGAGGAGCUUCUGAUAGCAUUUUUUAAGCGGGCGAUUCCGAAUUAAACAUCCUGUGAGAAAGGGCGCCUCGACGAUGAGCUCACAUUAAAAUUACUGUCCAUCAAGACUGUGAAAAGUAGAGAGCUUCCAUUUGACGUCACAGCGAGAUGAUGUGGAUUAGUAGGGUUCCACAAAAUCCAGCCGAUUUCUAUCCGCCAGGAGGUCUUUCGGGGCCAAAGUCACUCUGGAGGGGUGAUGAAGAGAGGAAGGAUCUUUUGUCGAUGGUGAUGGGACAGCAGUUCCCUCACUCAAUUUGAAGGAACGUUCCUGACCAGCGGAAGAGAGGACGGCCAUUAUGGCCAGACUAAGGCUGUGACAACCAGGACAAAGAAGCAGGAAGUAAUGAUUUUACAACAGUGUGUCUGAUCUGGUGAGAUUUUUUUCCUAAUUUCUGCCAUGGAAUUAAAUCCCCAAGAAAGCACUUUUGAAAAGUGGGACUCUACAGAGUAGGAGGAAGGGAAUACUCUCCCGCCUCUGAAAGAAUAGCGGCGAGUGAGAUUUGGAACCGAUGACAGAUCCAAACAAAAGAGAAUCAUAAUGAGAAGGUAAAUCUAAAAGUAAAGGGAAAAACAUUAUAAUCUGUUUAAGAUUUUUUCUUUUUUUUCCCUGUUUCUUGUAAUUUUGAGCAACGAAUUUUAAAGGACUAAACUUUUGGAUUUUUUUAAAGUUUGCUGUAAAAAUGAAGAGAAAGUGCCAGGGUGACACCUACUGGCUGGAAAAGACAUUACACUAGUGGAAAGAAUAGCAAAAUAUUUUGACUAUUACAGAUAAGAGAACAGAGACAAUAGAGAAUAGAGAUAAAACAGCAGCUACUCUAAAUGUUUUUGCUUGGUGUCUGGAGAAAGAUAGUGAAUACAUUGAAACCCUUUGAAGCCUUGUGAAUUAUAAAUACUCUUGAUGGCCUAAACAGUGGAAUAGCUUGGUUUUCCUUUAAAACCAAGUGAAGUGGCUUUUUGAUUUAUUAGAUAUUUUGGGCUAUUGGAUUAUUGAAUUAUGGGGGACUUGGUGGGCCCUUUGGAUUAUAAAUAUCAACUGACAGAAGAUAAAGAAAUAACCGUAGUCACAAAAUGGACUGAUUUUGUGCACUGACCCUAAGGAUUACAAAUACAGAUAACUCUGAGAAAUGGUUGGUGAUUGAGAGAAAUAAACUUUUGAUUGGUUUCCUAGCCUCCUGUGUACGUGGGACACUGUGGUGAUUGUGGGCUGUUUUGGACCAUUGUGUUCUUUUUUUUUGUUUCCCUUCUUUCUCUUUCCUCUUUUAAUAACUCAACUGGAUUGUCUCUCUUAAUAUUAGAUGCUGAAAUGACAAGUAUUCAAAAUUUAACUAGAUAGGGGGAAAAGCAUAAUCUACACCAUCAUUAGCUUCCUCUAAUCCAGGAAUAUCAAACUGACGGCCUGCCGGCCAGAUGCGUCACACAUAGACCACACCCAUCCCAGCUCCGCAAAGGGAAAAAACAUUGUGAAACGUCACAUGAUGGCAGCAUGACACCGCAAGUUUGACACCUGUGCUCUAAUCCAUCAAGUCAAAGAUCAAUAGACACUAUGCUACAACAAGAGAAAAUGAAUACUUCUCAAAUACAAAUGAUGCUUUAGUCUACACAGGAAACUAUGACAAAAAAUCACAAUGAGAUGAAAAAUGAGAUGGGAGAGAUGAAAAGUGGUAUGGGAAAGAUGAAGAAAAAAAUACACAAUUUGAAUGAAAGAAUAUUCAGCAAAUGAUAACAAAAAAUGAACAAAGGAUUCAGAAAACAGGAGAAAUCAGAACAAGCAGAAAAAAAGGUGGAUGAAAUAAAUCCAAGACUGACAGAGGUGAAUAAGGAGCUGGAAGACUGAUAGUAUUCCAAAUGGAGAAGGCGGCUUAUUAUUUACGAUUACAGAAUAUUGAAGAAGAAAAAGGAGAAGACCUUCUAGACAUGAUGAUAGAGUUGUUGGCAGAGGCUCUAAAGUUAAAUAAGCAGGAGAUGGAUAACAAAAUAGAUGAAAUAUUUAAAAUACAUGCGAGCUGUGCAAAAAGGCACAGACUCCCAAGAGAAGUGCAUAUGAGAUUUGUCAAAAAAUCAACAAGGGAUGAAAUACUUAGCAAGGCAAGAGAUGAACCACUGCAAGACUGUGAAAAGUAACUUUGCAAACAGCAAAACUAACUUUCUCAGUUAAAAGCUAAGGACUAUUUUGAAAUGCAAAAUUGCACGUUUAGUAAAUAAAUAAAGAAUGCAAGAUAAUGCAAAUCUUACAUAUCUUUUACAAAAUUAUUAUACAAUGUGUAAGGUUCAGUACUGAAAAUGUUGGCACAAGUAAGUGUAGUGCAUUGAAAUUUGACUUACGAGCCCAAUCUAAUAGGAUUACUUGACCAAUAACUUUUUGAAUAGCAAGCUAACACUUACCAGUUUUGGUGCCUCUUUUGCAGAGCUUGCAGAAGUAAGGCCUGGUAUUAGGCAAAAAGGCUUAAAGUUCAGAUUUGAGACCGGAAAGAAUCACACACUGCAUAGCAAGCAAACAGGUUUUAUUUGCUCCCCAAAGAAAGAUAUAAAGGUACACAUGAGAGAUCUUACAUUCCUUUUAUCUGUUGAGAGCCCCAGUUCCAGCAAUUAAACACCACCUAUGUACUCUAAUUCUGGGGUUAGCUAUAGCAGAAUGGUUCCUUCAGGUGGAAACAUAGCACAUUUGACCAAGUCUGCCUAUGGUAAUGCUUUGCCUUCCCAUAUUCAUUUCUGACAAGGCUUAUCAUAGCUCAAAUAGCCAAAGCAGCCCUAAUAAACCUUAAUAAAUUCUGAUGUGAGAAAAAUUACAACUACUUAAAAUUAGCACAUUUAAAUUAAAAGAAAUACCUGGUAUCUGUGACUCACAGACAUGCUGUCAGCAUUAUGUAGCAAAGUGGGUUACAUGCUAAUUAGCCUGUUCAAGGACUUUGAUGUUGGCCAAACUAUGAGCUCUUGUCCUCCUAGAGAUUACAAUGGUCUUCUGAUGAACAUUCUGUACACCUGUGGUGCCUGAAUAAUAGUAUGUCAUAAAAGUUCUAUGGGAAUAAAUGAAAUACAAUUAAGACAUAUAAGGAUUAUGGCUAUAAAGUUAAUUUAAGAAUUGCUUCAGUUCAAAUUCACUUCACUAAUUGGAAACAGUACAAAAUCUAAUUUAAUACACUCAUCAUAAAUCUUUCAGAAACUAAUUCUGUUCUUCACCAAAACAUGAAUGGCUUAAUUUCAUUGGUCCUUUUCCACUGGAGGAAAGAGAACUCUCCAGUGUCUGUAAUCAUAAUGGGGAGAAAACCCUACAACCUAAAUAUAUCAUUCUCUAAACAUUGUUUACUUCACAAAACAUUGUACUUUGUUUAGUAGAAGUCAACUCCAGGAAUGAUUGCAUUGUAUAAUACAGUAUACAAUUGGUAAAUUACCCAUAGUCAUUUCCUAUAUUUGAACUAAUAUAAUUUGGCAACUGUCAUAUUUUUAUUUAUAUUCCUCAUAUGGCGUCUAUGGCCUUUGUUACACAUAUGAUUUUUGCAUAUUACAUAUAUGAUACUUAUAUUUCUGUGACCCCAGAAAAUCACUGAUUUAUGACACUGUAAUUUGCAGCUCUGAACUGAUGAAAUGAAUUGUUGCUCCAAGGAAAAGGCCAUGAAAGUAGGAUUGCAGGGUUUUGUCUAGAGCUGCAAGGAAGAAAACAAUAUUGUUAUGAA